rnacentral:rRNA from 1 species
UGGGGAAUAUUGCACAAUGGAGGGAACUCUGAUGCAGCGACGCCGCGUGAACGAAGAAGGCUUUCGAGUUGUAAAGUUCUUUUAUAUGGGAAGAUAAUGACGGUACCAUAAGAAAAAGCCCCGGCUAACUACGUGCCAGCAGUCGCGGUAUUACGUAGGGGGCUAGCGUUGUCCGGAAUCACUGGGCGUAAUGGGUUCGCAGGCGGAAAUGCAAGUCAGGUGUAAAAGGCAGUAGCUUAACUACUGUAAGCAUUUGAAACUGCAUAUCUUGAGAAGAGUAGAGGUAAGUGGAAUUUUUAGUGUAGCGGUGAAAUGCGUAGAUAUUAAAAAGAAUACCGGUGGCGAAGGCGACUUACUGGGCUCAUUCUGACGCUGAGGAACGAAAGCGUGGGUAGCAAACAGG